AAGGAGGAGAAAUGUGCUGAAGGCCUGGGGACCCAACUUCUGUCAGUAGCACCACCUGGGGAGCUGUAACAUUUACCAUGGCUGGGCCACAAACCAGUCAAAUCAGAACUUCUGAGGUGUGUUCUAGAAGCUCUGCAGCUCAUUCUAAUGUGAGCCAGGGUUGAGGACCACUGCUAGACCACUCUGUGGGUUUACCUGCCCUGCUCUGGGAGCUCAUUACUGGUUAAGACAAGACGCUGCCUGCUGGUGAAAUCACAUAGUAAUACUCAUUCCUUUUUAAACAUCUACAAUUCUUUCCUGACAACAACAGUAAUAUAUGGUAAUUAUAGAAAUCUUGGAAAAUAUUUUUAAAAAGAAAAAAUAUAUAAAAGUAACCUUUUAUCCUACUACAUACAUAGAACCACUGUUAAUUUUCUACUAAUAUUUAUUUUUUCCUAUGUGCUGAUGUAUUUUUAAAUAAUCAUACCAUUGACCAUAAUGAUUUUCUCACUGAAUAUUGUAUACAUUUUUCAAAGCUGUUACAUAUUCUUAAAAAAUAUGGUUAAUGAUUGCAUAAUAGUUCAUGUCAUAGAUUUAUCCAUUACACCAUUAGACAGAUUGCUUCCAUUUUUCAUAUUAUAAGUGAUAAUCAAGGAAGAUGCUUGUAUGAUUCUUGUUUGGAAGCCAAUUUUUCCUUAGGCUAAAUAUCUAAAAGUGCAAUCAUUGGGUCAAGGGUAGAAAUGUUUUUUAAUGAUUUUACUGCAUAUUGCCAAAUUGAUCUACAGAAAACUUGCUAAUUAUAGUCCCUCUAGUAGUAUAUAGUAUAUAUUGUAAAUGCCUUCCUCAUCAUUUUUGAAAAAUCCUUUUACUACAUUUUUAAUCAGAAGGACUUCUCUGGCCUCCAAAACAGUAGUCUGCAUGCUAUACCUUUAUAUUUAUAAAUUUUCCAAUGUGGAAUAAGACAUCAUGAAGUGCCUAGGAGCUCAGUGCUGCAAGCCUUGUGAGACACAAAGUGCUGGGGCCAAAAUACAUACAGAGUGGCAUCCUGUCCGUCCACCCAGCCAGGAGUGCAAGGGGGAUCUCUCUGACCACACCCCACAUUUGUUCUGCAAGAACAGAAAGGGACCAAAUGGAAAAAAAGAACCUAGUAUGAGGAAACAGAAUGUGGGACAGGUGAGGGAGAGGGAGGUGUCUUAGUCCAUUCAGGCUGCCAUAACAAAUUAGCAUAGAGUGGGCGGGUUAUAAACGACAGAAAUUUCUCACAGUUCUGAAGACUGGAAAGUCCAAGAUCAAGGCGCUGGCUGAUUUGGUGUCUGUGAGAGCCUACUUCCUGGUUCAUAGAUGGCUGUCUUUUUGCUGUGUCCUCACAUGGUGGAAGGGACCAAGGAGCUCUCUGGGGCCUCUUUUAUAAGGACAUUAAUGCUGUUCAUGAGGGCUCUGCCCUCGAUCUCCCAAAGGACCCAAGUGAGCAUGAAUAAUGAGAAUAAAGAUUUAUCAGCGACUCCUUUGGCAGAGACCUGGGCAUGUUGCCUGGGGUGAAGCAGGUGCCGGUUAGAACAGAAA